GUUAACUCUUUUACAUUCUGUCUUCAGCUGAGCAUUUGUAGACGCUUGCCUUUUUUUUCUCUUUGAGGAAUUUAUUUAAAACAGAAAUCAAACAAGGAAGUGGAGACAGCUGUGAACGAGACAACACAUGAACACGAGGACCAAUGACUAGAGAAAACUGGAGACACACCAAAACAUACACGUGCCUAUGAAAACGGCUUGGCACGCAGCACUCGUGAGGGGGGAAUCAUCCCUGACAUUUAGCUUCUGUCAUUGCUUGUCCAGAUUUUUUCUUUCCAUGUUUUUAAAAUGAAGCAGAAAUACCCAGAGAUGGCAUGUUCCCGAGAAACUGGACAGCCCUCAAUCUUGAAGAGGGAAAAAUGCCGACACCUGUAGACUCUGUGUAAUGUACAAAAAAAGUCACAAGUCUCGAUGUGAGUACAAAGGAAUUAAAUGUGUAAUAGACCGAACGCAUCAAUAUGAACCUGUGGUUUGAGUUUCAGUUGCUGUCAGAGCUGCAGUUAUGAAAUAAAUAAAUAAAUUCUU